rnacentral:lncRNA from 1 species
AUCUUUUUGCAAGCUGGCCCCAACUUUCACCAAGUCAAUCGUCCAACUCUAGAGACUGACCAGAUCCUCUCUCUCCCCCCUCUCCCUCUCCCUUUGUAAUUCUCUUCGUCUUCUUCCUCUUCAAACCAAAUCUCUCUCCAUUUCCCAAUCCGUCUUUUUCUUUUUCUCUGAUUUUGUCUCUCUUCGCUUCUAUUUUAAGAGAUCUAUGAUUCUCUCUCUCUUAUUUUCCUCAAUCCUUGCCCAUGGAUCUUCUUUCUUCUCUCUCUCUCUCUAUUUUUUUUUCCUUCUCUUUUUUGUGUUCAAUCGUGGUUGAAACUUGCCCUCUUUCUUCCUUAGACAACAAACACCAUUGAUGUUUGUAACCCGUUGCACCCGACCGAACCCGCCCGUAACCCAAAAGGACUAUCUUCGGACAGAUUUUAAGGGAAAUAUGGUCGAAAUCGUGUUUCUUCAAGAUUCACCCAACCAAUUCGGAUCGGGUGAGGGGUCUUUGCCAUAGUUUUGGCUCUGGCUCAUGAAUUAUUAAAUGCAGAUUACAUCUCUAUAUGGUGGUUCUUUGGAAUUUCAUUUUGUGGUGGAAAGUAUAGAGUUUGGUUAGGUUUGGUUUGAUUUGUCCAACUGCUACGUUGAGCUAAACCAUUGUUUGCAAGAUCCUAGAAUAAAUCUUAGAUAAGGCAAUAUUGGAGUGAUAUGGUUUAACAUCGAUAGUUAGCUAACCUUACAUCCUGUCUUAGUUAAUUUCAUUUGUUUAUAAUAUUCUUCAACAGAUGGAUCAACUGAAUCUAACAUCUUACAACAUUCUUUUUGUGGGAAGGAGGAAUGAUGGCAAGUAUCAGUUAAUUCUUUUUUGACUACUUCUGGAGUUCUUUUCUUACUCAAUUCUUUUUUUCCAGUUGCAUGCAGAUGAAUGUAAAAAUGACCGUCAUGGGGUGGCUUCAUAACUUUACGGUGGAGGAUCUGGAAAUAUCUUGCUGCAAUAGCCUUGUGAUUCAGUGCUUUACCCUGUAACCUAGUUAAAAGCAGUUGAUAGACUUAAUAGCCAGGUUUUUUCUUUAUGAUUUUGCAACUUUUGGUAUCACCACUGUUUGACCAGGUGGCCAAACAGGCUGACCAAUGCCCUGAAUUACCUAGCUGAUAAAAUAAUAUCUCUGCCAAAUUGAUA